rnacentral:lncRNA from 1 species
ACGGGUGGCCGGGCGGGAUGUAACCGGCUGCUGAGCUGGCAGUUCUGUGUCGCUAGGCUUCUGCCCGGCCGCCGCCGCACAUAAGCUGCGAGGAGGAGCUUUACGACUUCCCGGUCUUCGGGGCCGGGCGCAGCAAGGGCCAGACUCUGCGCUAGCAGGCGCUGCGCGCCAACCGGCCGGCACCUGUCGCAGAAGGUGCAACCGAUCGCACUGUCGCGCAGAAGCUCCUCAAUGGCCAGCGCCAGCUGCAGCCCCGGCCGCCCACUCGCCUCAUCUGAGCCUGGCUGGCAGCCUGCUAUCAAUUACAUUGAUAGUAAAUUUGAGGACUACCUAAAUGCAGAAUCGCAAGUGAACAGAUGUCAGAUGCCUGGUAACAGGGUGCAGUGUUGUUUAUACUUCAUUGCUCCUUCAGGACAUGGACUCCCACCUUCAGGCAGGUUUGGGUAGUACACGUUUGUAACUACCUGGCAUUGCCUUUUGUUGAAGU